GGGGGUGUAGCUCAGUGGUAGAAUGCUUGCUUAGCAUGCAAGAGGUCCUGGGUUCAAACCCCAGCAACUCCA